rnacentral:tRNA from 1 species
ACCUUCGUGGUGUAGUGGUCAGCACGCUUGGCACAUAUUCGAGAGUUCUGUGGUUCGAGUCCCAGUGAGGGCA